rnacentral:Y_RNA from 1 species
GGUUGGUCCGAGUGCAGUGGUGUUUACAACUAAUUGAUCACAACCAGUUACAGAUUCCUUUGUUCCUUCUCCACUCCCACUGCUCCACUUGACCAGGAAA